AGCAGCCGCGGUAAUUCCAGCUCCAAUAGCGUAUAUUAAAGUUGCUGCAGUUAAAAAGCUCGUAGUUGAAUUUCGGGACCAUCAUGUCGGUCGUGCCUCGGUACGUACUGGCAUUGUUGGUUUCUCCCUUCUGACGAACCAUGAUGUCAUUUAUUUGGUGUCGUGGGAAAUCAGGACUGUUACUUUGAAAAAAUUAGAGUGUUUAAAGCAGGCUCACGCUUGAAUACAUUAGCAUGGAAUAAUGAAAUAGGACGUUUGAUUCUAUUUUGUUGGUUUCUAGGAUCGACGUAAUAAUUAAUAGGGAUAGUUGGGGGCAUUAGUAUUCAAUUGUCAGAGGUGAAAUUCUUGGAUUUAUUGAAGACUAACUACUGCGAAAGCAUUUGCCAAGGAUGUUUUCAUUAAUCAAGAACGAAAGUUAGGGGAUCGAAGACGAUCAGAUACCGUCGUAGUCUUAACCAUAAACUAUGCCGACUAGGGAUCGGAUGAUGUUAAUUUUUUAAUGACUCAUUCGGCGCCUUAC
rnacentral:misc_RNA from 1 species